rnacentral:rRNA from 1 species
GGAUGAACGCUAGCGGCAGGCCUAACACAUGCAAGUCGAGGGGCAGCAUGGCGUAGNGAUACGCUGAUGGCGACCGGCGCACGGGUGCGUAACGCGUAUGCAACCUGUCCGGCGCAGGGGGGUAGCCCGUCGAAAGGCGGGGUAAUCCCGCAUGAACCGGUAUUCCCGCAUGGGGGUGCCGGCAAAGUGGAGACGCGGGGCCGGAGGGGCAUGCGUGCCAUUAGCUGGCUGGUGGGGUAACGGCCCACCAGGGCGAUGAUGGCUAGGGGGUCUGAGAGGAUGGUCCCCCACACUGGUACUGAGACACGGACCAGACUCCUACGGGAGGCAGCAGUGAGGAAUAUUGGUCAAUGGGCGGAAGCCUGAACCAGCCAUGCCGCGUGCAGGAAGGAGGCCCUACGGGUUGUAAACUGCUUUUACCCGGGAAGAAACCGCCCCCUGUGGGGGGCGUUGCCGGUACCGGGGGAAAAAGGAUCGGCUAACUCCGUGCCAGCAGCCGCGGUAAUACGGAGGAUCNNNGGCGUUAUCCGGAAUUACUGGGUUUAAAGGGUGCGUAGGCGGGGCUUUAAGCCGGCGGUGAAAUGCAGCGGCUCAACCGCUGGAAUGCCGUUGGGACUGGGGCUCUUGGAUACGGUCGGGGCGGGUGGAACUCGUGGUGUAGCGGUGAAAUGCAUAGAUAUCACGAGGAACGCCGGUAGCGAAGGCAGCUCGCCGGGCCGGUAUUGACGCUGAGGCACGAAAGCGUGGGGAUCGAACAGGAUUAGAUACCCUGGUAGUCCACGCCGUAAACGAUGAUGGCUGGGUGUUGGCGAUAGACGGUCAGCGCCUGAGGGAAACCAUUAAGCCAUCCACCUGGGGAGUACGGCCGCAAGGCUGAAACUCAAAGGAAUUGACGGGGGCCCGCACAAGCGGAGGAACAUGUGGUUUAAUUCGAUGGUACGCGAGGAACCUUACCUGGGCUAGAACGCUUCUGGGAUGCUGCGGAAACGUAGCAGCCGGCAACGGCCGGGAGCGAGGUGCUGCAUGGUUGUCGUCAGCUCGUGCCGUGAGGUGUCGGGUUAAGUCCCAUAACGAGCGCAACCCCUACGUCCAGUUGCCGGCGGGUAGAGCCGGGGACUNUGGAUGGACAGCCGGCGUAAGCCGCGAGGAGGGGGGGGAUGACGUCAAAUCAGCACGGCCCUUACGUCCAGGGCUACACACGUGUUACAAUGGCCGGUACAGCGGGAGGCGACCCCGGGAGGGGGAGCGGAUCCCGAAAGCCGGUCGUAGUUCGGAUCGGAGUCUGGAACCCGACUCCGUGAAGCUGGAUUCGCUAGUAAUCGCGCAUCAGCCACGGCGCGGUGAAUACGUUCCCGGGCCU